CACGUGGUGGGAGUGGGACUCCAGCGCCGGAGGAGAUGACCCCUGCCACGGGAGAAAAGGACGUGGACGCCCCGUUCACCGAGGAGAUGCGGGCGGCGGCCAUGCGGCUGCACUCCAGGGACCAGGCCAGGGACGGCACGAAGGAGGCGCCCCUGGAGCCACCCGUCGCCAAGUGGCAGACCACUGUCGAGGGGUACCUCCGCUUCCUCGUCGAUAGCAAGCUCGUCUUCUAGACGCUCGAGGCCAUCGUCGACCGCGCCGCCGUCCCCUGGUAUGCCGAGUUCAGGGAUACUGGUUUGGAGAGAUCGGAGCCGCUCGGCAGGGAUCUGGAAUGGUUCAGGCAGCAAGGUCACGUAGUUCUGG